rnacentral:rRNA from 1 species
GACGAACGCUGGCGGCGUGCCUAAUACAUGCAAGUAGAACGCAGUUGCGAACGGGUGAGUAACGCGUAGGUACCGGCCGUAUACCGGGGGAUAACGAGUGGAAACGAUAGCUAAUACCGCCUAUUUUGAGAUGGACUUGCGUUGUAUUAGGUAGUUGGUGAGGUAAAGGGUCACCAAGGCGACGAUACAUGACCGACCUGAGAGGGUGAAUGGCCCACCUGGGACUGAGGACACGCCCAGACUCCCUCCGGAGGGAACCGUAGGGAAUUCUCUGGAAUGGACGGAAAGCUGAACGGACAAAGCCGCGUGAAUGAAGGAGGUUUUCGGAUCGUAAAGCUCUGUUGUUAGGGGAGCGGUAACUAACCAGAAAGCGACGGCUAACUACGUGCCAGCAGCCGCGGUAAUUC